rnacentral:rRNA from 1 species
UACGAAGGGGGCUAGCGUUGCUCGGAAUUACUGGGCGUAAAGGGCGCGUAGGCGGCGCUGCAAGUCAGGCGUGAAAUUCCUGGGCUUAACCUGGGGGCUGCGCUUGAGACUGUGGUGCUAGAGGAUGGAAGAGGCUCGUGGAAUUCCCAGUGUAGAGGUGAAAUUCGUAGAUAUCGGGAGGAACACCAGUGGCGAAGGCGGCGACCUGGACGGACACUGACGCUGAGACGCGAAAGCGUGGGGAGCAAACAGG